rnacentral:hammerhead_ribozyme from 1 species
AUCCAGCUGACGAGUCCCAAAUAAGACGAAACACACGUUCUCAAU